CAGUAGCGAGCGCUUAGGACCUGUGUCCGGGACUCAGCCACUCGGACAGAUUGGCGAUCUCCUGUAGCCACAAGUCCUGCGGGAGCAGAGGAGGCGGUGAAACUGGUCUUACAGAGAGGUGACCCACUUGAGAUGGCUAGCACUGUGAGCCUUGCACACCUGUCAGUAUCUGGGCCCCCAGAGAGACAGCCCAGUCCUCAGGAUACAACUUCUUGAUUUAACACAGUGGAGGAUUCAAUUCUCAUCUGCAUCCAAGGAAAACAAACCUUUCCUUAUAGAACUGCCCAUUUUUCCUUAAACUAUGAAUGGGUUAAUUCUUUCCGCAUCCUCGAGUUACGAGGGCUGUGGAUGGCCCUGAGGCUGUGAGCCAGCGCUACAGACAAAUGGUAAAGAGCCCAGAUCAAUUCUUUCAGACUUCACUGGGAUGUCAGAGAGGCCCAAGAAAAGAUCUUCAUAAACAGAAACACCGCAGAGACACUGAGAGGAGCUUCCUGGGUUCUAAUAAUGGCUCAUGUUGUGCCCUCAAGGUGUUCCUGGUUGCAGGGAACUGGACUGUACCCCUUCCAGUCACAUCCUAACACUGUGAAUGUGAGAUUAUUUGGAAAAAGGGGUCUUUGCAGAUAUAAUUAAGGAUUCAGAGAUGGAACCAUACUGCAUGCAGGACGAAGGGUGGGCCCUCUUAAAUCAUAAACAGUUGGAUAGGGAAAGACUAGGUGAAGAUGGGGUAGAAACUGGAGUUAUGUAAGCCACAAACUAGGAAUCCAGAGAGACAGGAUGGAUUCUCUCCCAGUGCAUCUAAAGGAAACACGGGCCUGCUCGCGCCUUGAUUUUGAACUUCUGGCCUCCAGAACUAUGACAGAAUAAAUGAUGUUUUUAAGUCACUAAGUUCCUGGUAAUGUCUUACAGCAUCUCUAGGAAACAAAUACACUAUUUCUAAGCUUUACUUGCCUGAGGUGUGGACAUCAGCUCUCCAAAAGGACGAAAAUCAGUGAGGUUUACAGUGAGGCCUGCACACAGGCAGGACAACCGUUGGCAGGGACAGUUGGCAGGCUCUGCGUUGUGUCUGUCCUGCCUGAGCUCCAGGACCCCUCCGACAGGUAGAAAGCGGUUUAAAGGGGAGAACAAAUGCAUGUGCUGACCUGAAGGUCCUGGUCUUUCUGAAAGCACUAGGAAUUGAGUGGUAAGAUACAGUUUGAGGGGCUGGAGGGACAGCACAACAGUUAAGGGCACUUGCAGCUCUAGGAGAGGGCAGGAUUUGGUUUCCAGGAUCUCACAACUUGUAACUCCAGCUCCAAGAGAUGAUGUGUGAGUCAACAGUUGACUCCUUUAUGGUUGAACGGGGAAGCACCAUGUAGGUCAUCACGCUGCUUACCAACAGACCUCUUCUUAUGAGACUGGAGUACCAACAAACACACAAUAAAGAGAUGACGAAAAUGGAUGCACUAGUCUCUGUGUGACACAGUGGGGUAGCUAGGCCAAACAGACAUAUAUGUAACCCCCCCCCCCAAGCCUGUGUUGCCUGGGUUAAUCAUCUUCCUCCCUGGGCUGCAGGAGCUGGGCUCCAGGCACGAGCCACCAUGCCCAUUGGUCUUCCUGUUUCCCAAGCCUGUGGUCUUCACUGGAAUUUACAUACCACGAUUGAGUGUAUGUAUUUAUUUGUGGGUUCUGGGUUCUGUAUAAGCACUUUUGCUAAGUGUGCUCACUUACUGAAUUUUAAGAGUUCUAUAAUGAACUACGACAAGUGGCCUGUACUUACUUUUAAACUAGAAAUCCAGUUUCUUCCAUAGAUACAGGGUUAUCCUGUGUCAUACAAGUAUAUCAAAUAAACAUUUUAAACAUAAAUUUGUGUGUUUUUAUAAAUAAGUUUACAUUGAGAAAUAUCUAAUGUCUGAGAACAUAGUCUAUUCUGAUACAAAGAUAUCUAAAGGUUGGAAUAUGCACUGUUCUGAUAUAGAAAUAUCUAAUGGCUGGAAUAUGCUCUAUCCUGCUGAAUGUAUCAUGUGUAUAUGAAAGGAACUGUAUUUUUAUAUGGUUGGACAAAA